GUGUCAUUUGGGAUGUAUCCUUGCUUCAAGUAAAAACAGACAUAAAGACGUAACAAUGGGCUAACUUCACAGUUAAUAUGAUCACAGCGUUUCCAAAGCAACACUAGCCUGAUCCCAGGUCUGUUUGGGCUGUCCUGGUCCCAGGUCUGUUUGGGCUGUCUUGUCAUUACCUAGCCUGGUCCCAGGUCUGUUUGGGCUGUCUUGUCAUUAUCUAGCCUGGUCCCAGGUCUGUUUGGGCUGUCUUGUCAUUACCUAGCCUGGUCCCAGGUCUGUUUGGGCUGUCUUGUCAUUAUCUAGCCUGGUCCCAGGUCUGUUUGGGCUGUCUUGUCAUUAUCUAGCCUGGUCCCAGGUCUGUUUGGGCUGUCUUGUCAUUAUCUAGCCUGGUCCCAGGUCUGUUUGGGCUGUCUUGUCAUUAUCUAGCCUGGUCCCAGGUCUGUCUUGUCAUUAUCUAGCCUGGUCCCAGGUCUGUUUGGGCUGUCUUGUCAUUAUCUAGCCUGGUCCCAGGUCUGUUUGGGCUGUCUUGUCAUUAUCUAGCCUGGUCCCAGGUCUGUUUGGGCUGUCUUGUCAUUAUCUAGCCUGGUCCCAGGUCUGUUUGGGCUGUCUUGUCAUUACCUAGCCUGGUCCCAGGUCUGUUUGGGCUGUCUUGUCAUUAUCUAGCCUGGUCCCAGGUCUGUUUGGGCUGUCUUGUCAUUACCUAGCCUGGUCCCAGGUCUGUUUGGGCUGUCUUGUCAUUACCUAGCCUGGUCCCAGGUCUGUUUGGGCUGUCUUGUCAUUACCUAGCCUGGUCCCAGGUCUGUUUGGGCUGUCUUGUCAUUAUCUAGCCUGGUCCCAGGUCUGUUUGGGCUGUCUUGUCAUUACCUAGCCUGGUCCCAGGUCUGUUUGGGCUGUCUUGUCAUUAUCUAGCCUGGUCCCAGGUCUGUUUGGGCUGUCUUGUCAUUAUCUAGCCUGGUCCCAGGUCUGUUUGGGCUGUCUUGUCAACUCCUAUGGUCAUUACCUAGCCUGGUCCCAGGUCUGUUUGGGCUGUCUUGUCAUUAUCUAGCCUGGUCCCAGGUCUGUUUGGGCUGUCUUGUCAUUAUCUAGCCUGGUCCCAGGUCUGUUUGGGCUGUCUUGUCAUUAUCUAGCCUGGUCCCAGGUCUGUUUGGGCUGUCUUGUCAUUACCUAGCCUGGUCCCAGGUCUGUUUGGGCUGUCUUGUCAUUAUCUAGCCUGGUCCCAGGUCUGUUUGGGCUGUCUUGUCAUUACCUAGCCUGGUCCCAGGUCUGUUUGGGCUGUCUUGUCAUUAUCUAGCCUGGUCCCAGGUCUGUUUGGGCUGUCUUGUCAACUCCUAUGGUCAUUACCUAGCCUGGUCCGUCUUGUCAUUAUCUAGCCUGGUCCCCGAUCUGUUAGGGCUGUCUUGUCAACUCCUAUGGUCAAUGACCGUUCUAGUUGGUUAUGAAGAAAAGCACAAACAGAUCUGGGACCAGGCUAAAUCCACACACCGUUAGAGCGCCUUAACGGGGCCAGGUUCAGUAGCCAGAUAGAAAUACCAUGAAUAGAGCAGACAUGACUCCUUAUUCUACAUGCAUUUCUAUCUGAACCUGCCCCAAGAAGUAACGGGUGGGGGAGAGGGGGUGUUGAGGGUUAUUACAGGGAGAGAGGCUGGGUUGAGGGUUAUUAUGGACAGACACGGAGGGGUUGAGGG